rnacentral:rRNA from 1 species
AUUGAACGCUGGCGGUAUGCUUAACACAUGCAAGUCGAACGGUAACAGGCCUUCGGGCGCUGACGAGUGGCGGACGGGUGAGUAACGCGUAGGAAUCUGCCUCAUAGUGGGGGACAACGUGGGGAAACUCACGCUAAUACCGCAUACGCCCUACGGGGGAAAGCGGGGGAUCUUCGGACCUCGCGCUAUGAGAUGAGCCUGCGUUAGAUUAGCUAGUUGGUAGGGUAAAGGCCUACCAAGGCGACGAUCUAUAGCUGGUCUGAGAGGACGAUCAGCCACACUGGGACUGAGACACGGCCCAGACUCCUACGGGAGGCAGCAGUGGGGGAAUAUUGGACAAUGGGCGCAAGCCUGAUCCAGCAAUACCGCGUGUGUGAAGAAGGCCUUAGGGUUGUAAAGCACUUUCAAUUGGGAGGAAAACCUGCCGGUCAAUACCCGGCAGCUUGACAUUACCUUUAGAAGAAGCACCGGCUAACUCCGUGCCAGCAGCCGCGGUAAU